GACGAACGCUGGCGGCGUGCUUAACACAUGCAAGUCGAACGGGCUCUGUCUGGCUGUGUGCUGGGUGGGGUUAGUGGCGAACGGGUGAGUAAUACGUGAGUAACCUGCCCUCUUCUUUGGGAUAAGCCUUGGAAACGGGGUCUAAUACUGGAUAUUCCUGUCUGGUCGCAUGGCUGGGUGGGGAAAGUUUUUUUCGGUGGGGGAUGGGCUCGCGGCCUAUCAGCUUGUUGGUGGGGUGAUGGCCUACCAAGGCGUCGACGGGUAGCCGGCCUGAGAGGGUGAACGGCCACACUGGGACUGAGAUACGGCCCAGACUCCUACGGGAGGCAGCAGUGGGGGAUAUUGCACAAUGGGCGCAAGCCUGAUGCAGCGACGCCGCGUGGGGGAUGACGGCUUUCGGGUUGUAAACCUCUUUCGUCGGGGGACAAGGCUCUGCUUGGUGGUGGGGUUGAGGGUACCCGGUGAAGAAGCGCCGGCUAACUACGUG
rnacentral:rRNA from 1 species